ensembl:snoRNA
AACUUAGUUUAGAUCUUUUGAGUUUUCACACUCGUGUGAGAUUUGCCUCCCUCAAACCUUGUUACUACCUUGGCACAUUACAUAUCUGAUG